GGUUCUCAUCACUGAAUAUUUCAGGAUCAUAAACAUACUCUAAGUAAGACUUUGAUGACCAAUAUUCACUUCUUUUGAUGUCACUCUUCUUAUCUUCCUCUCCCUUUCCUUCUUCACCAUCUUUCUUUUCUCCUUCUUCCUUCUUCUCCUCUUCUUUCUUCUCUUCUUCCUUCUUCUCUUCAUCUUUCACUAUGGAUGCUUGCUUUCUAGUCUUCUUAUACACAUCAUCAACUAGCUUUGUCGGAUCGACCACGCCCUUUACUAUUACUUGACUAUUAGCUAGAUCCGUUUCAACCGAUUCUACACCUUGGAUCUUUCGAACUCGCUUUUGUAAAACUUGAGCACAUGCUUCGCAAUGCAUUCGAACGCUCAAUACAACUGUUACUACAGCAGGAGGCUCCUCCUUUUUCUCUUCCUUUGGUGCUUCUUCUUUGUUUUCUUGCUUGUUUUCUUCUUGUGGCUUUGGCAAAGGUGAAAUUAACUCCACUUUCCUUCCACUUUUCUUUUGCAGCCUCUCACAUACCUUUACAGGGUCUGCUGCUUUGCCUUUCACCACCACCUUGCUAGCUUUGCUAUCUGUGGUUACCUCCUCCACUCCUUCAAAUCCUUUCAAGGCUCUAGCAACUUUUCUUGCACAAGCUUCACAAUGCAUAUCAACCUUAAGUACAAUCUCAGCAGGCUCUUCCUCUUUCUUCUCCUCCUCCUUCACUUCCUCUUUCUUUUCUUCCUCUUUCUUCUCUUCUCCCAUUUUUGUAGCUCAAGAGCUUUAGUAGGAAAUGUAAUUGGUUUUCAGAGCUCUUGUUGCUUCUGCUUUCUCUCUCUCUCUCUCUCUCUC
rnacentral:misc_RNA from 1 species